UACGUAGGGUGCGAGCGUUGUCCGGAAUUAUUGGGCGUAAAGAGCUCGUAGGCGGUUUGUCGCGUCGACUGUGAAAACCUACAGCUUAACUGUGGGCUUGCAGUCGAUACGGGCAGGCUAGAGUUCGGCAGGGGAGACUGGAAUUCCUGGUGUAGCGGUGAAAUGCGCAGAUAUCAGGAGGAACUCCGGUGGCGAAGGCGGGUCUCUGGGCAGUAACUGGCGCUGAGGAGCGAAAGCGUGGGGAGCGAACAGG
rnacentral:rRNA from 1 species